rnacentral:rRNA from 1 species
CUUGCAGGGUACUCGAGUGGCGAACGGGUGAGUAACACGUGGGUGAUCUGCCCUGCACUUCGGGAUAAGCUUGGGAAACUGGGUCUAAUACCGGAUAGGAACCAUCUUUAGUGUGGUGGUUGGAAAGUUUUUUCGGUGUAGGAUGAGCUCGCGGCCUAUCAGCUUGUUGGUGGGGUAAUGGCCUACCAAGGCGGCGACGGGUAGCCGGCCUGAGAGGGUGAACGGCCACAUUGGAACUGAGAAACGGUCCAA